CUCCUGUGCACACUCACACGCACGUGUGCACACUCACACGCAUAUGCAGUCAAAACACACAGACGCACACGAACUGGCUGGAAAACUAUUUUUAUUCAGGCUAGUGAUACCUUGUUCCUAAAAAGACAAAUGAUUUCACGGGUUAUUUCGUUUGGAUGUAUUUCUUGUUUUUAUCGAUGACUGGCUUCCUUUUUGUCACGCUUUAGACUGAUGUACGGUCACAUUGGAUUUGAAAACGACAUCCUUUCUUCCAUAGAUCCACGCUACCUGAAAGAAGGCCGCCUUCUGAAUCCAACGAUACCAGUUAUGUGCACAUCGGACCUACGCUUCAAAAGAUACGGACAGUUUGAAAUUGCUGCAAAUGUACUGUGCCCACAGCUCACUGGCUCUGCUUCGGUGACAUCACUGAAGUUUCACAUCUGACCCGGACCCUCACUUACUUCGAGUCCUUUUGCAAUGGCUGAACAAGCUGAGAGGAGGUAAUAUGUGUGUUUUUGUUUUACAAUUGCAUGUCUUUGUUUAACAGUUUAAACUGCAGUGUAAAUAAACUGUAAACAAAUGCUUUCCUUGCUUAGUAUAUUGUUUCCUGUCCGGAUAUCUAUAAGCUCAGUCAUCAAGAGGUUCACUGUCAUUCACGUGUAGUCAAGCGUAAGAUGUUGUUUAUUGUUUUAUGGAAAAGAAUACAAAUGAACCUAGCUGUUGGGUAAAGAAAGCUGAAUGUUAUUUGUCAAUGGGCUAAGCUAAACCAAAAAACGUGUUUGCACUGGAAUGUGUGCGUUAAAAUUGUGUUAUGAAAUGUAUUCCUGUUUUGAUAGCAAAGUUAGAGUGAUUUUUCAAGUUUUCAAGACUGUCUGUGCCUUUACAAAAACACUCUGCACUUUGAAGACCCAUUGACACCAUUACACAAUGGAAAUGCUAAUGGCACAGGUCUCGCUCUGCUGCUGAUGGCUGUUUUUUGUUGUUUGCCUUUCUAAAUUUCUUUAACUCAUGUCUGAUUCUUUAAAAUCAUCUGUCAAUUCUCCGUCAUCGGUUAGGAACCUAGGUGUGCUAUUUGAUUGCAAUCUUUCCUUAGAAAGCCACGUUUCUAGCAUUUGUAAAACUGCAUUUUUCCAUCUCAAAAAUAUAUCUAAAUUACGGCCUAUGCUCUCAAUGUCAAAUGCAGAAAUGUUAAUCCAUGCAUUUAUGACCUCAAGGUUAGAUUAUUGUAAUGCUCUAUUGGAUGGUUGUUCUGCACGCUUAGUAAACAAACUACAGCUAGUCCAAAAUGCAGCAACAAGAGUUCUUACUAGAACCAGGAAGUAUAUGACCAUACUAGCCCUGUCCUGUCAACACUGCACUGGCUCCCUAUCAAACAUCGUAUAG